GAUGAACGCUGGCGGCGUGCCUAAUACAUGCAAGUCGAGCGAACAGACGAGGAGCUUGCUCCUCUGACGUUAGCGGCGGACGGGUGAGUAACACGUGGAUAACCUACUUAUAAGACUGGGAUAACCUCGGGAAACCGGAGCUAAUACCGGAUAAUAUAUUGAACCGCAUGGUUCAAUAGUGAAAGACGGUUUUGCUGUCACUUCUAGAUGGAUCCGCGCCGCAUUAGCUAGUUGGUAAGGUAACGGCUUACCAAGGCAACGAUGCGUAGCCGACCUGAGAGGGUGAUCGGCCACACGGGAACUGAGACACGGUCCAGACUCCUACGGGAGGCAGCAGUAGGGAAUCUUCCGCAAUGGGCGAAAGCCUGACGGAGCAACGCCGCGUGAGUGAUGAAGGUCUUCGGAUCGUAAAACUCUGUUAUUAGGGAAGAACAAAUGUGUAAGUAACUAUGCACGUCUUGACGGUACCUAAUCAGAAAGCCACGGCUAACUACGUG
rnacentral:rRNA from 1 species